rnacentral:rRNA from 1 species
AAGACCUUGCGCUUUUGGAGCGGCCGAUGCCUGAUUAGCUUGUUGGUAAGGUAAAAGCUUACCAAGGCUUCGAUCAGUAGCUGGUCUGAGAGGACGACCAGCCACACUGGGACUGAGACACGGCCCAGACUCCUACGGGAGGCAGCAGUGGGGAAUUUUGGACAAUGGGGGCAACCCUGAUCCAGCCAUGCCGCGUGAGUGAAGAAGGCCUUCGGGUUGUAAAGCUCUUUCAGCCGGAACGAAACGGUUACGGAUAACACCCGUGACUACUGACGGUACCGGAAGAAGAAGCACCGGCUAACUACGUGCCAGCAGCCGCGGUAAUACGUAGGGUGCGAGCGUUAAUCGGAGUUACUGGGCGUAAAGCGUGCGCAGGUGGUUUUGUAAGUCAGAUGUGAAAGCCCCGGGCUCAACCUGGGAACU